GAUAAACUCUAGGAAUUAUUUGCUACUAAACCUGGAUAUGCAUUUCUUUAUAAAGGUGUCUUGCUGGAUUUUCUGGACAGUUUUGUGAAAUAGAAGUUAAUGAGUGUAAUUCAUCACCCUGUCUACAUGGUUCAACCUGUGAAGAUCAUGUCAGUGGGUACACCUGUCAGUGUCAGAAAGGAUGGGAAGGCUUGCAUUGCGAGUUAGAUGUUGAUGAGUGCACAUCCAACCCCUGUAUACAUGGCAUCUGUGUUCAGAGUGACCCCAGUUUUGGUUAUUCCUGUUUUUGCAAGCCAGGAUUUGUGGGACGAAGCUGUGAGCUUAAUUACAAUGAUUGCCUUAUACAAUCCUGCUCCAGUGGGUUUCUUUGCGUUGAUGGAAUAAACAAUAUCACCUGUUUACCUACUAUCCUCCAAAGUAAGAAAACAGAAAUGGCUGAAUUUCCUACUGAAAUUUUAGAUAAUGACCUUCCAGCAGCAUUAGCAGUAUCUAUGGAACUUUGGUCUAAACAUGGUAUUCCUGAUUUUCAUACAGAAGAGGUGGCCCAAGCUUUAAUUGCUAGAGCAGCACCAGGCUGUUCCUUUGUCUGCUGGAGACACAACUUCAGUAAUUAGUAACAUUCCAGAUACUUCAGAAGAAUUAAAUAGCGAGUCAUUGGUCUCCCAUGGAUAACGGUUUACUACUUCUACAAGUGUGCCGUCAGUUCUCUCUUGGUUGUUGCAAAAUGAAUCCUGAAGAAUUAUCAGAUGUCUUUUCAGGAUCAGAAGAGCAAUAAAGAUUGCAAAGUCCUUCAAUAA